rnacentral:rRNA from 1 species
ACUACGGGUGGCUGCAGUGAGGAAUAUUGGUCAAUGGGCGAGAGCCUGAACCAGCCAAGUCGCGUGAAGGAUGACGGCCCUACGGGUUGUAAACUUCUUUUGUCAGGGAGCAAUUGGGUGCACGCGUCGGCUUAUCGAGGGUACCUGAAGAAAAAGCAUCGGCUAACUCCGUGCCAGCAGCCGCGGUAAUACGGAGGUUGCGAGCGUUAUCCGGAUUUAUUGGGUUUAAAGGGUGCGCAGGCGGAAUAUCAAGUCAGCGGUAAAAAUUCGGGGCGCAACCCCGUCGUGCCGUUGAAACUGAUGUUCUUGAGUGGGCGAGAAGUAUGCGGAAUGCGUGGUGUAGCGGUGAAAUGCAUAGAUAGCGCGCAGAACUCCGAUUGCGAAGGCAGCAUACCGGCGCCACACUGACGCUGAAGCACGAAAGCGUGGGUAUCGAACAGGAUUAGAUACCCCAGUAGUC